UACGUAGGGACCAAGCGUUGUUCGGAUUUACUGGGCGUAAAGGGCGCGUAGGCGGCUUAACAAGUCACUUGUGAAAUCUCUGGGCUUAACUCGGAACGGCCAAGUGAAACUGUCAAGCUAGAGUGCAGAAGGGGCAAUCGGAAUUCUUGGUGUAGCGGUGAAAUGCGUAGAUAUCAAGAGGAACACCUGAGGUGAAGACGGGUUGCUGGGCUGACACUGACGCUGAGGCGCGAAAGCCAGGGGAGCAAACGGG
rnacentral:rRNA from 1 species